GUGGGGAAUCUUGCGCAAUGGGCGAAAGCCUGACGCAGCAACGCCGCGUGGGGGAUGAAGGCUCUCGGGUUGUAAACCCCUUUCAGCAGGGACGAAUCAAGACGGUACCUGCAGAAGAAGCCCCGGCUAACUACGUGCCAGCAGCCGCGGUAACACGUAGGGGGCAAGCGUUGUCCGGAUUUAUUGGGCGUAAAGAGCUCGUAGGUGGCUGAGUAAGUCGGAUGUCAAAUCCCCAGGCUCAACCUGGGAUCCCAUCCGAUACUGCUCUGGCUAGAGUCCGGUAGGGGAGCGUGGAAUUCCUGGUGUAGCGGUGAAAUGCGCAGAUAUCAGGAGGAACACCAGCGGCGAAGGCGGUGCUCUGGGCCGGUACUGACACUGAGGAGCGAAAGCGUGGGUAGCAAACAGGAUUAGAAACCCUAGUAGUCC
rnacentral:rRNA from 1 species